rnacentral:rRNA from 1 species
UGGGGAAUAUUGCGCAAUGGGCGGAAGCCUGACGCAGCGACGCCGCGUGGGGGAUGACGGCCUUCGGGUUGUAAACCUCUUUCAGCAGGGACGAAGCGGAAGUGACGGUACCUGCAGAAGAAGCACCGGCCAACUACGUGCCAGCAGCCGCGGUAAUACGUAGGGUGCAAGCGUUGUCCGGAAUUAUUGGGCGUAAAGAGCUCGUAGGCGGUUUGUUGCGUCGGCUGUGAAAUCCCGAGGCUCAACCUCGGGUCUGCAGUCGAUACGAGCAAACUAGAGUGUUGCAGGGGAGACUGGAAUUCCUGGUGUAGCGGUGAAAUGCGCAGAUAUCAGGAGGAACACCGGUGGCGAAGGCGGGUCUCUGGGCAACAACUGACGCUGAGGAGCGAAAGCGUGGGGAGCGAACAGGAUUAGAUACC